CACAGGACGCUAGUUGUGAACAAGGUGCGAAGAGCCUACUGAGCUACUAGAGAGUCCUCCGGCCCCUGAAUGCGGCUAAUCCCAACCACGGAGCGGGUGCUCACAAGCCAGUGAGUUGCCUGUCGUAAGGCGUAAGUCUGUGGCGGAACCGACUACUUUGGGUGUCCGUGUUUCUAUUUAUCUCAUAUAUGGCUGCUUAUGGUGACAAUCAUUGAUUGUUAUCAUAAAGCGAGUUGGAUUGGCCAUCCGGUG
rnacentral:other from 14 species